GUUUCUGCGCCGAAGAUGUAACGGGGCUAAAAUCAUGUACCGAAUCUGUGGCUUUACAAAGUUUUCGAACUUUGUAAGGGGUAGCGGAACGUUCUGUAAGCCUGCGAAGGGAUACCCGUGAGGGAUCCUGGAGGUAUCAGAAGUGCGAAUGCUGACAUAAGUAACGAUAAACGAAGUGAAAAACUUCGUCGCCGAAAAUCUAAGGGUUUCUAUGCAAGGUUAAUCCGCGUAGAGUUAGUCGGCACCUAAGGCGAGGGCGAAAGCCGUAGUCGAUGGAAACAAGGUUAAUAUUCCUUGACCUGAUGGUAGUGACGGAUUUCGUAAGUUGUGAGUUCUUAAUGGAUUGAACUUGCCGCGAAGAGGUCCCAAGAAAUAGCUCCAUCAUGAAGACCGUACCCGAAACCGACACAGGUAGAUUAAUAGAGUAUAUUUAGGCGCUUGAGAGAAUGAUGUUGAAGGAACUCGGCAAAAUGCUUCCGUAACUUCGGGAUAAGGAAGACCCUUUUGUAGGCAACUAUGGAAGGGUGGCACAAGCCAGGGAGAAGCGACUGUUUAUCAAAAACACAGGGCUCUGCUAACACGUAAGUGGAUGUAUAGGGUCUGACGCCUGCCCGGUGCUGGAAGGUUAAUGCGGUUGGUGCAAGCUAACUUCUGAAGCCCCAGUAAACGGCGGCCGUAACUAUAACGGUCCUAAGGUAGCGAAAUUCCUUGUCGGGUAAGUUCCGACCUGCAUGAAUGGCGUAACGAUUUCUCCGCUGUCUCCAACAUCAACUCAGUGAAAUUGAAUUCUCCGUGAAGAUGCGGAGUUCGCGUAGUUAGACGGAAAGACCCCGUGCACCUUUACUGCAACUUUACAUUGGUGUUAGGAAAAACAUAUUUAGCAUAGGAGGGAGACUUUGAAGCAAAGGCGUCAGCUUUUGUGGAGUCACCAGUGAAAUACCUCUUUUGUUUUUCUUGACAUCUAACCGCUAGCCGUCAUCCGGCAGCGAGACAUUGUAUGGUGGGUAGUUUGACUGGGGCGGUCGCCUCCCAAAUAGUAACGGAGGCGUGCGAAGGUAGGCUCAGAACGGUCAGAAAUCGUUCGUAGAGUGCAAUGGCAUAAGCCUGCCUGACUGUGAGACUGACAAGUCGAGCAGAGACGAAAGUCGGUCAUAGUGAUCCGGUG
rnacentral:rRNA from 1 species